rnacentral:rRNA from 1 species
GACGAACGCUGGUGGCGUGCUUAACACAUGCAAGUCGAACGGAAAGGCCCUGCUUUUGUGGGGUGCUCGAGUGGCGAACGGGUGAGUAACACGUGAGUAACCUGCCCUUGACUUUGGGAUAACUUCAGGAAACUGGGGCUAAUACCGGAUAGGAGCUCCUGCUGCAUGGUGGGGGUUGGAAAGUUUCGGCGGUUGGGGAUGGACUCGCGGCUUAUCAGCUUGUUGGUGGGGUAGUGGCUUACCAAGGCUUUGACGGGUAGCCGGCCUGAGAGGGUGACCGGCCACAUUGGGACUGAGAUACGGCCCAGACUCCUACGGGAGGCAGCAGUGGGGAAUAUUGCACAAUGGGCGGAAGCCUGAUGCAGCAACGCCGCGUGCGGGAUGGCGGCCUUCGGGUUGUAAACCGCUUUCGCCUGUGACGAAGCGUGAGUGACGGUAAUGGGUAAAGAAGCACCGGCUAACUACGUGCCAGCAGCCGCGGUGAUACGUAGGGUGCGAGCGUUGUCCGGAUUUAUUGGGCGUAAAGGGCUCGUAGGUGGUUGAUCGCGUCGGAAGUGUAAUCUUGGGGCUUAACCCUGAGCGUGCUUUCGAUACGGGUUGACUUGAGGAAGGUAGGGGAGAAUGGAAUUCCUGGUGGAGCGGUGGAAUGCGCAGAUAUCAGGAGGAACACCAGUGGCGAAGGCGGUUCUCUGGGCCUUUCCUGACGCUGAGGAGCGAAAGCGUGGGGAGCGAACAGGCUUAGAUACCCUGGUAGUCCACGCUGUAAACGGUGGGUACUAGGUGUGGGGUCCAUUCCACGGGUUCCGUGCCGUAGCUAACGCUUUAAGUACCCCGCCUGGGGAGUACGGCCGCAAGGCUAAAACUCAAAGGAAUUGUCGGGGCCCCGCACAAGCGGCGGAGCAUGCGGAUUAAUUCGAUGCAACGCGUAGAACCUUACCUGGGUUUGACAUGGAUCGGGAGUGCUCAGAGAUGGGUGUGCCUCUUUUGGGGUCGGUUCACAGGUGGUGCAUGGCUGUCGUCAGCUCGUGUCGUGAGAUGUUGGGUUAAGUCCCGCAACGAGCGCAACCCUUGUUCACUGUUGCCAGCACGUUAUGGUGGGGACUCAGUGGAGACCGCCGGGGUCAACUCGGAGGAAGGUGGGGAUGACGUCAAGUCAUCAUGCCCCUUAUGUCCAGGGCUUCACGCAUGCUACAAUGGCUGGUACAGAGAGUGGCGAGCCUGUGAGGGUGAGCGAAUCUCGGAAAGCCGGUCUCAGUUCGGAUUGGGGUCUGCAACUCGACCUCAUGAAGUCGGAGUCGCUAGUAAUCGCAGAUCAGCAACGCUGCGGUGAAUACGCUCCCGGG